UGAAUAUGUCAUGUCUUAGUGAAUCGUAAAACAACAUCCUAUUGAAUAUGUCAUAUAGAACUUCAUAAAACAACAACCUACUGGAUUUGUCAUGUCUUAGUGCCUCAUAAAACAACCGACUGGAUAUGUCAUGUCUUAGUACUUCAUAAAACAUCCUAUUGGAUAUUUCUUAUCAUAGAACUUCAUUAAACAACAUCCUGUUGGAUUUGUCAUGUCUCAGUACUUCAUAAAACAACAAACUACUAGAUAUGUCAUGUCUCAGUACUUCAUAAAACAACAAACCACUAGAUAUGUCAUGUCUCACCUUCAUAAAACAACAACAUAC
rnacentral:lncRNA from 1 species